rnacentral:rRNA from 1 species
CCUACGGGACGCAGCAGUGGGGAAUAUUGCACAAUGGGGGAAACCCUGAUGCAGCGACGCCGCGUGAGUGAAGAAGUAUUUCGGUACGUAAAGCUCUAUCAGCAGGGAAGAAAAAAAGUCCUUUGGACUUUGGACGGUACCUGACCAAGAAGCCCCGGCUAACUACGUGCCAGCAGCCGCGGUAAUACGUAGGGGGCAAGCGUUAUCCGGAUUUACUGGGUGUAAAGGGAGCGUAGACGGCAGCGCAAGUCUGGAGUGAAAUGCCGGGGCCCAACCCCGGAACUGCUUUGGAAACUGUGCAGCUG